UACGUAGGGGGCAAGCGUUGUCCGGAAUUACUGGGCGUAAAGCGCGUGUAGGCGGGACGGCAAGUCCGGCGUGAAAGCCCCGGGCUCAACCUGGGAAUUGCAUUCGAGACUGCGUAGCUAGGGUGCGGAAGAGGGAAGCGGAAUUUCCGGUGUAGCGGUGAAAUGCGUAGAUAUCGGAAGGAACACCAGUGGCGAAAGCGGCUUCCUGGUCCAGCACCGACGUUCAGGCACGAAAGCGUGGGGAGCAAACAGG
rnacentral:rRNA from 1 species